rnacentral:snRNA from 1 species
GCUCACUUUGGCAUAGACUAAUAUUGGAACGAUACAGAGAAGAUUAGCAUGGCCCCUGCACAAGGAUGACAUGCAAAUUCGUGAAGCGUUGCAUACUUUU